rnacentral:misc_RNA from 1 species
AGGUUUUGGUCACAAUUCAGGGCAAGCACCUUAUUCAUUUGCAAAUGAAUUGGAGGAGUGGUACCAAUAUAGUGAAUCUUUCCAUCAUGACCAAGAAGUGGUUCAAUGGACUAAAAAACUGAAAGUAUUUAUGGAGAAGAUUAUAUGCAAAAUGAUACAAAUAUGGAGUGAUGAUUCAAUUGGGCAUUUGGCUAAAAUUAAAUUAAGAUGGAACAACUUGUAGCAAAGUUAGAUUCCUUGAGAAUAUGGAAUCUUGAGGAGGGGAGUAUUUAUACGUGUUAUAUUGGUAGGAUGAGAAUUGAUGAAACGUAACAUUAUCUCUCAACGGAUUGAAGCUCUGUGAUUGGUGGAGGCAGUUAGAAUAACGGCUUGGAGAGAGAUUAUUAUAACGGUAAAUGAGCUGAUAGUAGAAUAAAUACUUGUAACCCAUAAGCAAUUGGGAUGUGUUGUUGAAUAA